AUUGAACGCUGGCGGCAGGCCUAACACAUGCAAGUCGAGCGAGCGGCGGACGGGUGAGUAAUGUCUGGGAAACUGCCUGAUGGAGGGGGAUAACUACUGGAAACGGUAGCUAAUACCGCAUACCAUCAGAUGUGCCCAGGUGGGAUUAGCUAGUAGGGUGGGUAACGGCUCACCUAGGCGACGAUCACUAGCUGGUCUGAGAGGAUGACCAGCCACACUGGAACUGAGACACGGUCCAGACUCCUACGGGAGGCAGCAGUUGGGAAUAGUGCACAAUUGGAGCAAGCCUGAUGCAGCCAUGCCGCGUGUGUGAAGAAGGCCUUGGGGUUGUAAAGCACGUUCAGCGGGGAGGCGUUACCCGCAGAAGAAGCACCGGCUAACUCCGUGCCAGCAGCCGCGGUAAUAC
rnacentral:rRNA from 1 species